rnacentral:rRNA from 1 species
AGAGUUUGAUCCUGGCUCAGGACGUAACGCUGGCGGCGUGCUUAACACAUGCAAGUCGAACGGGAGUACUUUGAAAGCUUGCUGAUAAGUACUUUAGUGGCGGACGGGUGAGUAACGCGUGAGGAGCUGUCUUAUGCAGGGGGACAACAGUUGGAAACGGCUGCUAAUACCCCAUAAGCCGAGAGGUAAAAGGAGCGAUCCGGCAGAGGAGGUACUCGCGUCCUAUCAGCUAGUAGGUUGGGUAACGGCCGACCUAGGCGAAGACGGGUAGCCGGCCUGAGAGGGCGAACGGCCACACUGGAACUGAGAUACGGUCCAGACUCCUACGGGAGGCAGCAGUGGGGAAUAUUGGGCAAUGGGGGGAACCCUGACCCAGCGACGCCGCGUGGGUGAAGAAAUCCUUCGGGAUGUAAAGCUCUUUCAUCUGGGAAUAUAAUGACGGUACCAGCAGAAGAAGCCCCGGCUAACUCCGUGCCAGCAGCCGCGGUAA